rnacentral:hammerhead_ribozyme from 1 species
AGGCGAAACCCCGGUGGUGAGCCGGGGUCGGGGCGGGGUGGUGCCCGCCUCCUGACGAUGCCAGCCGACA